rnacentral:tRNA from 1 species
GCGCCUAUAGCUCAGCCCGGUAGAGCAGUUGCCUUUUAAGCAAACGGUCGGAGGUUCGAGUCCUCCUGGGCGCACCA